GUGAAGUCGUCAAUGUCUACAGCUUCAGCUAUUGCCCCUGUGUGCAGAUGGUGCUUAUUUUCCCUUGUGCCUUCCAGACUUGCAUUCCAGCCACCUACCAAACCCCUUUCCUUGGAUGCCAAGAAAAGUCUUCAGACCGUGGACAGUGUACUCUUUGUCUGUAUUAUGGAGAAAGGCGUUCCCUAGGAUGAUGACACAAGGAUUUAAUGAGUAGAAGACAACAACUUAAAACCUCUCAUUUGAGCAUGACUUGUCUAGGUUAAAGGUGGGCAUUGAGAUCCCAUUAGCUACUGGCACAAUUGCGAAAAUAAAUGUACAUAUGCACAGACACACUUUAAAGCAAGAAGUCAUAAAAAUACAGCGAUGCCUGUUUCUACUCAGACCCAAAAAUGGAAUUAAAGCCAAAACUUACCCCUCUACUAAUUAGAGAAGUAAAAAUGUCUUCACCCUAAGCGUCCCAGCACAACGUGAAUCCAAAACAAGCUGCUUUCUUUGGAUUCCACUUAUUUAUUUACUUUUAAAAGAAUAUUUGAAGAAAAUGACGCCCAGUAAAAGAACAGUUGGAGAAAACAUGGGACACCAUACAUUGGAAGAGAAAUGUAG